UUCCACGGGAGGCAGCAGUGAGGAAUAUUGGUCAAUGGGCGAGAGCCUGAACCAGCCAAGUCGCGUGAAGGAUGACGGCCCUAUGGGUUGUAAACUUCUUUUGUCAGGGAGCAAUUGGGUCCACGUGUGGGCUUAGCGAGAGUACCUGAAGAAAAAGCAUCGGCUAACUCCGUGCCAGCAGCCGCGGUAAUACGGAGGAUGCGAGCGUUAUCCGGAUUUACUGGGUUUAAAGGGUGCGUAGGCGGAAUAUCAAGUCAGCGGUAAAAAUUCGGGGCUCAACCCCGCAGUGCGGUUGAAACUGAUGU
rnacentral:rRNA from 1 species